GUGAUUACCCACGGGUAUUAUUUGCGAGUUGUUGGUAAAGUAUUACUUAAGCAUUAUGCACAAUGUUUAAAAAUGGCGUACUGCUAUGGAGAGUGUGUUUUGGUGGCAGUUUGAUUAUCCCAAGUACAGAGGAAUUAUCCGAAAAGGACCGUCCCUCAAGAACACGUGCACAGGAGAGCAGAUCGAUGGUUCAGGAGGUUAGUGCAAUGUGUUCACACCACCUGUGCCUUUGCCACGGGCUCCAGUCCCCUGCACAUGUGUACUCUUUCAAAGGGCUAGAUCCCGCAACCCCUCUCCCCACUAACUCCCCCAGCACACACAGUCGCAGUCCCCCUCUCACUGGGGGAGGAGGCCCCCUGGCUCUGUCCGUGGCGCUCUCUCUCUCCCUCCCUUUCCAGCUCCUCUUCUCUCGCCCAGGGCGGAGUUUCCUCCUUCUGCUCAUUGUUCCAAACCCGAGUGCCCGCCCAGCCCCGCCGCCGCCGCCGCCUCGGGCGGCUCCUGGGGGGAGGGGAGGGAAGGGGGUGUGGGAAGGGGGGGAGGGACGGGACAGACGUGAAGAAGCGCCUUGUAGCCGCCGCCCCCAGCCCCAGCAUUGCCCACCCCGCCUCGGCUACAGCUGCAGUCAGUCCCCGCAGGCUCCUCGCCGGCUGCAAGCUCAGCGUCCGGACUGCGCUGCGCACCCAGCCCCGGCUCUGCGGCAGCAGGAGGAGGAGCAGGAGCUGCGGUGAGUGGGGCCCGCUGAGCAGUCGCGGGGAGCGAGACGCGCGGCACCGAGCCGCGGGGACCCAGAGCACUCGCGCCACUGACCGAGCUGCCCCUUGUCGCGCCGGGGACGGCGACGGCGGAGUCCGGACCGCGCUCCCCAAUUCCGGGACCGGAGCCUGGGCGGCACAACUCCCGCAGCCACCUGCUUCGGAGGCCCCGGCUGCGAGGACAGGAUGCGCUCGGCGCCGCUGCCGCCGCCGCUGCUGUUGCUGCUGCUGCUACUGCCCAGUGGAUGGGGAAAUGGGAUGGUAACAUCCGGGGCAGUAACAACUGGUAUCGCUACCACCAUCAGCAAUGCUGGAGGCACCCGCGCCCAGACUACAAGCAUUUCAGAAACCAGCAAAUCUCUGAACGCAAACACCACACAGCCAACUGUCCCUUCAGGAACCAAGAAGUCGACUAGUCCUAACCCCACAACACCUCCUUUACUCCAGCCUCAAGGUUCAUCAUUUCCCAAAUCCUCACCCACUCCCAAAUCAAACCAGGGAGGGGCCAGUACAGUAGGGACAGGAGCACAGACCACUGUAGCCCCUCCUACUGUAAGUGAUGUAAGUACAACUGUAGAGCCUACCAAAAAGACGACGUUGGCAUCCACUCCAGUACCCGGGGCUUUGGGAACCCCGACGUCCACUUUGCCAUCACAAGUGAAAAACUCCUCACCUUCACCAUCAGCUAUAAUUAAGGACCAGGACCAUAACACUGUGCAGACCACACCGAGUUUCAUCACAACAUCCUCCAGCAUCUCUGGGGGUUCACCUUCUCUGACUAGUGUCAUGACUUUUACUCCAGUGCCAGGAGCCUUUCCUUCUGUUACCUCACCAGCGAUCACCAGCUUCACUCCCAGAACUCAGCCAACUGUAGCCACCUCUGGGGCUCCAGUGUCCUCUGGGAGCACAAUGUCAGAUACCUUGUGGGCACAGCUUUGGUUACUCCUGGGGACACAGCUUCAGAUACCUCUAGGGUGGUCCCUAGCAGGUCAACUACAGUUGACUCUGAGAAUUCUACCUCCUCACCCACUAGCCCCUAUUCUUCCCAUCACCAGCCCCCUGCCAUGACAACCUCUGGAUCUGAAAUUUUUUCACCCAUACCCAACAAGAUAACCUGUCAUGCUGACAGCCAUACGACAGAGAAUCUGCUUAUUCUGAAGAUGACCAACUUCACUAUCUGU
ensembl:lncRNA